rnacentral:rRNA from 1 species
UCGAGAAUUUUUCACAAUGGGGGAAACCCUGAUGGAGCGACGCCGCGUGGAGGAUGAAGGCCUUCGGGUUGUAAACUCCUGUCAUGCGGGAACAAGAAAGUGAUAGUACCGCAAGAGGAAGAGACGGCUAACUCUGUGCCAGCAGCCGCGGUAAUACAGAGGUCUCAAGCGUUGUUCGGAUUCAUUGGGCGUAAAGGGUGCGUAGGUGGCGAUGUAAGUCUGGUGUGAAAUCUCGGGGCUCAACCCCGAAAUUGCAUCGGAUACUGCGUUGCUUGAGGAUUGCAGAGGAGAGUGGAAUUCAUGGUGUAGCAGUGAAAUGCGUAGAUAUCAUGAGGAAGACCAGUUGCGAA